AGUGAACGCUGGCGGUAGGCCUAACACAUGCAAGUCGAACGGCAGCACAGUAAGAGCUUGCUCUUACGGGUGGCGAGUGGCGGACGGGUGAGGAAUACAUCGGAAUCUACUUUUUCGUGGGGGAUAACGUAGGGAAACUUACGCUAAUACCGCAUACGACCUACGGGUGAAAGCAGCGGAUCUUCGGACCUUGCGCGAUUGAAUGAGCCGAUGUCGGAUUAGCUAGUUGGGGGGGUACAGGCCCACCAAGGCGAGGAUCCGCAGCGGGUCUGAGAGGAGGAUCGGCCACACGGGAACUGGGACACGGGCCGGACUCCUACGGGAGGCAGCAGUGGGGAAUAUGGGACAAUGGGCGCAAGCCUGAUCCAGCCAUACCGCGUGGGUGAAGAAGGCCUUCGGGUUGUAAAGCCCUUUUGUUGGGAAAGAAAAGCAGCAGGUUAAUACCCCGCUGUUCUGACGGUACCCAAAGAAUAAGCACCGGCUAACUUCGUG
rnacentral:rRNA from 1 species